UACGUAGGGGGCAAGCGUUGUCCGGAAUCAUUGGGCGUAAAGAGCGUGUAGGCGGCCCGAUAAGUCCGCUGUGAAGGUCCAGGGCUCAACCCUGGGAUGCCGGUGGAUACUGUCGGGCUCGAGUCCGGAAGAGGAGUGUGGGAAUUCCUGGGUGUAGCGGUGAAAUGCGCAGAGUAUCAGGAGGAACACCAAUGGCGAAGGCAGCACUCUGGGACGUGACUGGACGCUGAGACGCGAAAGCGUCGGGGAGCAAACAGG
rnacentral:rRNA from 1 species